AACCGAUACGACAAUCAGCAGGCAGAGGGGAAGACGGGGGAGGAACCAAGAGCAUCUCGCUUGCAGAGCCCCAACAGGGUGACUGUUUGUUCCAAGAAACGUCCUUGGCAAGGCCGUUUAGAACAAGGGAGCCGAAAGAUUAAA